CUAUGGUGACAAGCAAUCAUUCGAUUGGGUCCAACUUGGUCCAGUGGGUAAGAAAUAGGGAAAACUGCGCACAGCUUUAACGCAUGGUAAAAUAAACUCACUCCAGAUGAGCUAGGGCCACGAAACGAAACACUGUGCAAUUUCCCUCUAUGGACAAUAGGCCAAUGUAGGCUAUCAAUAGCUGGAACGUGGAACUGUAGGCUAAUACAUGGUUCUUGGGGUGAAAAUCUCUGGUGAGUAAAACAUCUCACUUAGCCUAAUUGUAAUAGGAGGUAGGCUAGUCUACAUUUGGCACACUGAUGUGCCUUUAGAUCACCUGUAGGCCUACAGUCAGAAGUAGCCUACAGACUCCGAUGACUUCAAAAUAGACUUUCACAUGGGCUCCUCAACCUCAUCUCACAUGAACAGAGAAGAACAUCACUUCAGUGCGCGUCUUCACAUAACUUGCUCAAGAAUGCGGGAAACAUAGGAGGGGUAAAAAAAGAUGUGGCCCAUUUGAACCAAUGCCGUUGCUUGGGAUAGUGAUUGACACUUCCAGGUAGCCAAUCUACGAGCAGUUCGACCCGAGGCGCGAUCAGCCGGGUCCACGAGGCUUAUAAAACGAAUUGACAGCGUGCGCACUGCACUGACUCUAUGACUCUAUGUUGCGAAGACUGGUCUAGGAUACCUGCUUCUUUCACGCGUAAUAUCUUGUCGCACUCAACUGUCAUCAUGAAAGCAAUAAGUCCAGUACGGUCUAUGAGAAACAACAUCUCCAACUCGUCGGAACAUACCCUCGGCAUCUCCCGGAGCAAAAGCCCGAUGGAUGAUCCUCUGAGUCUGCUGUACAAUAUGAACGACUGCUACACCAAGCUGAAAGAACUCGUGCCCAGCCUCCCGCAGAACAAGAACGUUAGUAAAAUUGAGAUAUUGCAGCAUGUUAUAGACUAUAUCUUAGACCUUCAGAUUGCACUGGACUCUAGCUCAAUCAUCUCCAGCUGCCAACAUCAGCAGCAGCGACCGGGACAGGCAGCAUCAGCCAGGAACCCCCUAGCAACCAUCAACUCCGACAUCAGCCUCCUCACCUUUCAGUCAAGUGACCAGCUCCCCAAAGAGACUGAUGACAGCUAAACUCUCCUUCACUGACUGGUCUAUUACAGGUGUUUUAAACAGGACCCCAUGUUCACCUCCACUGACUGGCUGGAUUUCCUCUUGACUUAAGUUUAUAUUUUUUCCUAAAAGGAGAUACAAGUAGUUUUUAUUUAUCUACUUAAAUUUUUUCUUUCAACAGAACAAUGAUAUCUCACCAACAAUGGAAACACAAGGACAGACUAACUAACUGAAAAGAUAGUAUUGAAACGAGAUAUCUUUCGACGAGAGGAAUCUGCUUUUUCCUGGGAAGGUGGCGCAUGAAACACAGGAGAACUCUCUAAAUGUUUGCUGUUUCUUUCGGACGGACUAAUGGAUACUCACUGUAUAUAAAUGUUAAGACAAAAAUCAUGCCUGUAUAGUAUCAGAUUUGUUGCAGAGAAUAUAAUUAUGUAUUUUAUUGUGCUGCAUUUUUCAAAGGAAUGUUGUAAAUUGCACUUUUAUACAAUAAUAAAUUAGAUUCCUUAUAUUGUA